ACUAAGCGUACACGGUGGAUGCCUAGGCAGUCAGAGGCGAUGAAGGGCGUGCUAAUCUGCGAAAAGCGUCGGUAAGCUGAUAUGAAGCGUUAUAACCGACGAUACCCGAAUGGGGAAACCCAGUGCAAUACGUUGCACUAUCGUUAGAUGAAUACAUAGUCUAACGAGGCGAACCGGGGGAACUGAAACAUCUAAGUACCCCGAGGAAAAGAAAUCAACCGAGAUUCCCCCAGUAGCGGCGAGCGAACGGGGAGGAGCCCAGAGUCUGAAUCAGUUUGUGUGUUAGUGGAAGCGUCUGGAAAGUCGCACGGUACAGGGUGAUAGUCCCGUACACCAAAAUGCACAGGCUGUGAACUCGAUGAGUAGGGCGGGACACGUGACAUCCUGUCUGAAUAUGGGGGGACCAUCCUCCAAGGCUAAAUACUCCUGACUGACCGAUAGUGAACCAGUACCGUGAGGGAAAGGCGAAAAGAACCCCGGCGAGGGGAGUGAAAUAGAACCUGAAACCGUGUACGUACAAGCAGUGGGAGCACCUUCGUGGUGUGACUGCGUACCUUUUGUAUAAUGGGUCAGCGACUUAUAUUUUGUAGCAAGGUUAACCGAAUAGGGGAGCCGUAGGGAAACCGAGUCUUAACUGGGCGUCUAGUUGCAAGGUAUAGACCCGAAACCCGGUGAUCUAGCCAUGGGCAGGUUGAAGGUUGGGUAACACUAACUGGAGGACCGAACCGACUAAUGUUGAAAAAUUAGCGGAUGACUUGUGGCUGGGGGUGAAAGGCCAAUCAAACCGGGAGAUAGCUGGUUCUCCCCGAAAGCUAUUUAGGUAGCGCCUCGUGAACUCAUCUUCGGGGGUAGAGCACUGUUUCGGCUAGGGGGCCAUCCCGGCUUACCAAACCGAUGCAAACUCCGAAUACCGAAGAAUGUUAUCACGGGAGACACACGGCGGGUGCUAACGUCCGUCGUGAAGAGGGAAACAACCCAGACCGCCAGCUAAGGUCCCAAAGUCAUGGUUAAGUGGGAAACGAUGUGGGAAGGCACAGACAGCCAGGAUGUUGGCUUAGAAGCAGCCAUCAUUUAAAGAAAGCGUAAUAGCUCACUGGUCGAGUCGGCCUGCGCGGAAGAUGUAACGGGGCUAAACCAUGCACCGAAGCUGCGGCAGCGACACUUAGGUGUUGUUGGGUAGGGGAGCGUUCUGUAAGCCGUUGAAGGUGACCUGUGAGGGUUGCUGGAGGUAUCAGAAGUGCGAAUGCUGACAUAAGUAACGAUAAUGCGGGUGAAAAACCCGCACGCCGGAAGACCAAGGGUUCCUGUCCAACGUUAAUCGGGGCAGGGUGAGUCGACCCCUAAGGCGAGGCUGAAAAGCGUAGUCGAUGGGAAACAGGUUAAUAUUCCUGUACUUGGUGUUACUGCGAAGGGGGGACGGAGAAGGCUAGGCUGGCCGGGCGACGGUUGUCCCGGUUUAAGCGUGUAGGGGGAGUGACCAGGUAAAUCCGGUUGCUUAUCAACCCUGAGGCGUGAUGACGAUGCACCACGGUGCAGAAGCAGUUGAUGCCAUGCUUCCAGGAAAAGCCUCUAAGCAUCAGGUAACAUUAAAUCGUACCCCAAACCGACACAGGUGGUCAGGUAGAGAAUACUCAGGCGCUUGAGAGAACUCGGGUGAAGGAACUAGGCAAAAUGGUGCCGUAACUUCGGGAGAAGGCACGCUGGCGUUAGGUGAAAGGACUAGCUCCUGGAGCUGAAGCCAGUCGCAGAUACCAGCUGGCUGCAACUGUUUAAUAAAAACACAGCACUGUGCAAACACGAAAGUGGACGUAUACGGUGUGACGCCUGCCCGGUGCUGGAAGGUUAAUUGAUGGGGUCAGCCGCAAGGCGAAGCUCUUGAUCGAAGCCCCAGUAAACGGCGGCCGUAACUAUAACGGUCCUAAGGUAGCGAAAUUCCUUGUCGGGUAAGUUCCGACCUGCACGAAUGGCGUAAUGAUGGCCAGGCUGUCUCCACCCGAGACUCAGUGAAAUUGAACUCGCUGUGAAGAUGCAGUGUACCCGCGGCAAGACGGAAAGACCCCGUGAACCUUUACUAUAGCUUGACACUGAACAUUGAGCCUUGAUGUGUAGGAUAGGUGGGAGGCCUUGAAGUGUGGACGCCAGUCUGCAUGGAGCCAACCUUGAAAUACCACCCUUUAAUGUUUGAUGUUCUAACUCGGCCCCAUGAUCUGGGGUGAGGACAGUGUCUGGUGGGUAGUUUGACUGGGGCGGUCUCCUCCCAAAGAGUAACGGAGGAGCACGAAGGUUAGCUAAUCACGGUCGGACAUCGUGAGGUUAGUGCAAAGGCAUAAGCUAGCUUGACUGCGAGAGUGACGGCUCGAGCAGGUACGAAAGUAGGUCUUAGUGAUCCGGUGGUUCUGAAUGGAAGGGCCAUCGCUCAACGGAUAAAAGGUACUCCGGGGAUAACAGGCUGAUACCGCCCAAGAGUUCAUAUCGACGGCGGUGUUUGGCACCUCGAUGUCGGCUCAUCACAUCCUGGGGCUGAAGUAGGUCCCAAGGGUAUGGCUGUUCGCCAUUUAAAGUGGUACGCGAGCUGGGUUUAGAACGUCGUGAGACAGUUCGGUCCCUAUCUGCCGUGGGCGUUGGAAGAUUGAGAGGGGCUGCUCCUAGUACGAGAGGACCGGAGUGGACGAAUCACUGGUGUUCGGGUUGUCAUGCCAAUGGCAUUGCCCGGUAGCUAAAUUCGGAAGAGAUAACCGCUGAAAGCAUCUAAGCGGGAAACUUGCCUCGAGAUGAGUCUUCCCUGGGGCUUAAAGCCCCCUGAAGGAACGUUAAAGACUAUGACGUUGAUAGGCUGGGUGUGUAAGUGCAGCGAUGUAUUGAGCUAACCAGUACUAAUGAUCCGUGAGGCUUAACC
rnacentral:rRNA from 1 species